UACGUAGGGGGCGAGCGUUAUCCGGAUUCACUGGGUGUAAAGGGAGCGUAGACGGCCAUGCAAGCCAGGGGUGAAAGCCCGGGGCCCAACCCCGGGACUGCCCUUGGAACUGCAUGGCUGGAGUGCGGGAGGGGCAGGCGGAAUUCCUGGUGUAGCGGUGGAAUGCGUAGAUAUCAGGAGGAACACCGGCGGCGAAGGCGGCCUGCUGGACCGCGACUGACGUUGAGGCUCGAAAGCGUGGGGAGCGAACAGG
rnacentral:rRNA from 1 species